UGCAGAGCACACUUUGUGUUCUCUCCGUUUUGCUACGCUUACAAAUACAUCUAAAAUCACACACACGCGCAUACACUGGCAGAGCUUACUGCGUUAACUGUAAAAUCAUAUUAAAUCCUAAUCAAUUAACUGUUAAACAAAAAGCCGCUUACAUUUUUUAAUAUAACCCAUACAUUUUAUUAUCUCAAUAGCCGCCUCUCCUCCUCCCCCUCCGGCUAUUGGGAGUACAAAAUGUGUCUUUUUCCGGCGUGUUAUGUACAAAAUACCCACACCACUCUAGGGACACUCACACACAUGCGAAUAGUGAGAGAACAAAUACUUGCAAGAGAGACAGAGAGAGAUACUGGCGCGCGAGCGUGCGGACAGCAGCAGGCCAGGCAAGGCAGAAUGCGCGCUAUUGCUAUUGCUCAUUCACAAUGAUGCGCAAUAAAAAAAAACUGUGUGGAAGAACUACAGACGCACACACAUCUUUGCAUACUGACGAAAUCAGAUUGCUUUCCAGAUGAAAAUCACAAUUUUCCCUCAACUUUUCAUCAUGCUUGAUAAACGUAUUAGCAGAUGCAUUAAGUUCCUGCGCAUGGUGCUGGCGAUGCGGUUCUGGCUUCCACAUUUUUAUAUAAUUUCUUUUAUUGAAUUUUUUUGAGCCACAAUUAGUGGGCAAACAGCACAGCACCUCGCGCCUUUACAACACGCACACACACACACGCAGACUCAAAAAUAUGCAUGCACACGCAAACAAAUACAAAGAUGUGCUCGCGCUUAUGAGUGUGUGUGUUGAGAGUCUAGAAAUGUUCCACUAUUUUCAGUUAUUUACACAAUCCAAUUUUUCUUUUUUAAACAACUCACAAUCACAAAUUGCCUUACAAAUGCUUAAUUGGUUGUAAUCUGUUUCGUUUGUUGCUGUUUGAAACGAUUAGAAUCCAGCGGAAAAAAGGGAGUAGAAAAACGUUUUCAGCGCGAAAGUAUUGUCCAAGUACUCACACACACACAGCCACACACACAUUCACCGACGGAAGCAGAAGCACGCAAGAAUUGCUGUACUCGUUUGCGCCCUGGCAGAGCAAAGUACGCAUGCCAAAACACCGGUCGUCCCGCUCUCACCUAUACCGCGGCAAUAGCAAAUGCGUACGAGUAGUUUCGUGCGUGCGAGCGAGAUGUCGUUUGAAUCGAAUACCUAUCGGCACUUUUUGGGAUAUGGCAACGCUAACUAUUUAACUACUUUAAAGGCAACCCUGUGGCGGUGUCUCUCGUUUUGCGCCUCUUAGCUGUCUGACUGAAAUUGCUGAUUUGGGCUGAAUCACUUCUGGAUGACGAGAGAGGCCUAUAUGCUGUACAUUUUUAAAUCGAGUCUACUGAAGUAUAGGAUAUUUAGGUGCAUGCACUCACAACACAUUUAAUAGUUUAAGGAACUCUAAAUAAACCGAAAAUAAGAUAAGUGUUGAGCUUGCAA